UAAAAUAAAAAUUGCUUACAUAUGUCAACAUAUUUAAACAAAUAAGUUAACUAUAAUACUCCCACCGUCCCAAAAUUAUAGUCCAUCUUUCCUUUUUGGUUUGUCUCAAAAUAACAGUCUACUUCUAAAAAUAAAUAGCAUUUUUACCAAAAUACCCCUUAUUAUUAUUUAACAACUAAGCAUUUAAUUGAACAUUAAAUGCAAAGUAAGACAAAACUGUCAUUUUAUUACAUAUAGUUAGUGGUAAUUAAUGAUUCCUUAAUCUGUAUGUUUUUUUUCUGUAGACAAUAAUAUUGAGACGGAGGGAAUAUGUUACAAAGUUAAAGUCAUAAUUUCAUAAAUAGAAAUAAAAUAUGAUAUUUUGUAUUUUAGUUAAUUUAAUGUUAGAAUAUAGUUUUUGUAUCAAUUUAAUAUUAUUAAUCAAUUUAAUGCUAAGAAGGACCUUGGUGAAGCUGCCUAUAUUCUAGGGAUAAGAAUCUUGAGAGAUCGGAGUAAAAGACUAAUUGGACUUAGUCAGAGUACCUACUUGGAUAAGAUGCUGAAGAGAUUCAGCAUGCAGGAUUCCAAGAAAGGAGAGUUACCCAUCCAGAGUAACACCAGAUUGAGUAAGACACAAAGCCCUAGCAUUGAGGUUGAGAUAGCAGAAAUGAGUCAAACACCUUACGCUUCGGUUGUAGGAUCGAUCAUGUAUGCUAUGACGUGUACUCGACCCGAUGUAGCUUUUGCCUUGAGCAUGGUUAGCAGGUAUCAGGCGAACCCUGACAAGGCACACUGGACUGCGGUAAAGAAUAUCCUCAAGUACCUACGAAGGACUAAGGACUGGGUCCUUACCCUCGGUGGGAGUGAUGACUUGAGAGUUGUUGGGUAUAGUGAUGCUAGCUUCCAGACUGAUAGGGAUAAUUUCCGCUCUCAGUCGGGCUGGGUCUUUACCCUAAACGGAGGAGCAAUUUCUUGGAAGAGUUCCAAGCAAGAGACAGUGGCAGAUUCUACUUGUGAAUCAGAGUAUAUUGCAGCUAGUGAAGCAGCAAAGGAGGCGAUAUGGCUGAAGAACUUCAUUGGAGACCUUGGAGUUGUACCAGCUAUUAAAGAGCCAAUGGAAAUUUUCUGUGAUAGUGAAAGUGCUGUUGCCUUAGCCAAGGAACCAAGGGAUCAUGGGAGAUCCAGACACAUCGACAGAAAAUACCAUUUCAUUAGACAUCGGAUCGAAGAAGGACUCCUCGUGGCAAAGAGGGUAUCAUCGGAUGAGAACCCAGCAGAUCCCCUCACGAAGGGACUGAGUAGGGUUAAGCAUCUCCAGCAUGCUCGGAGCAUAGGGCUGAAGGAUGAUAUAAGUUUUAGUAGUUAGAUAACCCAGAAAUUUGUAAAGUGUAAUUGACAUUUGAUGAUGAAUAAAAGGUGUUUUAUUUAUGAGUAAAGUGUUGCUAUCUCUUGUCGAUCGUUUACUAUAUUUCUUUUGCAUGUUUUGACUUCCAGAAUAAUUUUGUUUGGUAUAACAUAUUAUUCAAACCUCCACAGUCGGUCAUAUGUUGGAAGUAGAUAUGAAUCAAGACUGUCAUGUUUGGUUGUAGAGGUCUUGGACAAGGCUACAACAAUCAUGAGUGCUCAUAAGUUCUGAGCAUUGGACUCAACCCACGCUCACUGGAAUCACUUCAUGGAAUUCUAUCUCGAGUGAUCGUGAGACGGUAAUAUCAUAUAAGUCUUCAAACCUAGAGAUAUGAUUUGUUACUUACAAGUUGGUUAUGCAUUGACUGUACGAAACCGCAUUGGUAACUCGAUGUUAUAAAACGUACUUUUGUGUGUAAUUCAAUGAGUGGUAGAACAAACAUAUGAGUCGAAGUUUAUCUGUUCCUUCUUGGAUUAGAAGCUGAUAUCUGGGCCCCUCGAUGAUUUUGUUUUGACCCAUGUACCGGGCCCGGUCAGAACUAAGUUGAUGUGUUCAAUUAAGUUCUAUGUCAAACAAAUCGGAAAUCGGGAAACAAAUGCUGGACAAUAAGCAAGACAAUGUUCCAUGUAUUUGUCCGGCUGAUAUCUAGAACGGAGGAUUAUAUGAUCACUUAUCUUAAAUGGCGUACCAUCAUCUUCUCAGUUCCGAGAGACCUUGAAAGAGCUACGAUUGCCGGUCGGUUCCUGAAGUACUAGAGAUAUAGUUAUUAGACUUAUCCAAGUGGGAGACUGUUGGAUAAGGUGUCUAAGUCCAUAACUAUUUCGGGCUUGUACUUGACCCGACCCGGCAUGGUCCAUUUGGGUUGCAUGGCACCAUGCAAUUGGAUAGACUAAAUGAGAGAAAUAACACUUGGAGAUUAUUAAUAUAUUAUAAGUUCUAAUAUAUUAAUAAUAUUAUUUGAUUAGUUGAUCAAAGAAUUAAUUUGGAAUUAAUUAAGUGAUCAAAGGAUAACUAAUUAAAUAUAUGGGUUGAUUAUGUAAAUCAUCCAUAUCUUGUAUAGUGGGCUAAGAGGCUCCAUGGAUUAUCAAGUUGGGUUCUACCCAUAGGAUGCUCCAUGGAUGCUCCAUGGGAGUUACAAACCCAUGGGUCAUGGAAAUGAAGAGUCAUGACACAUUAGGGUUUACAUGGUGUAACCCUAGAUGUGCCAACACUAUAUAAGAGUCCCAUUCUCCACAAAAUUGGCUACACAAGUUGAACACUAAGAAACUAGAGGGCUUGGCCGAUUUUGAGAAGUGUGUGUUAUCUCAAGAGUCUUUCCAAGAGCAUUUGGUGUUGUGUGAAGCAUUUGAGGCAUCACACUUGGGGUGCUAGGCUCACAAGGUUUCAAGGAACACAAGCAACAACAAGGUAAGUUAUUCUAUCUAUGAUUCAAGUUAAAAUUGUUCCCCAUGUAUGCUAGAUAGGAAUAUAACCUUGGAAUUCAACUUUGCAUGAUAAUUAGACAAACAUAGAUCCAAGGUUAUUAGGGUUGCAUGUACACUUAGGAAGUGUUAGAAUGCUCAAAACCCAUCAGUGGUAUCAGAGCCUAGGCUUGUUUGUUUGUUAUUUGUGCUUAAAAGUUGAAGAAAGUCGAAAAUUCUGCUGUCUGACUGAUGGACUCGGCGAGUCCAUGGGGAGGACUCGUCGAGUUCAUGUGUAUCUUCAACCUACUCGGCGAGUAGGUUUAUGCACUCGGCGAGUAGGGUCGACAGAGUGCAGAAUUUCGACUUGAGUUGCUGGAAAUGGAUUAGAAUCAUUACCCUAAAAUGUUUUGGUACUUGAAAACUUAUUUUAGAAGGUGUAAUGUCUUUUCUAACUCAUUUACAACAACUAGUUAUCAAAAUUACAAAGAUUAAAUGUGAUUUUGAUUCUUGAAAGUGUUCAUAUUCAUAUUCUUGUUCUUAUGAUGUUUAGAUGAUCAUAGGAAUUAUUUGUAACCUAUGUGGUAGAUUAAUUCAUGAUCAUAAUGUGUUUUAAUGGAGUCCAUAACUUGUCCUCAAGUUAUGGAAAACCAAAAGUCUCUUGGAUUAAAAACCAUUAAAAGAACACAAGAGUUAGGAAAAAUGAAAAGUCCUCAUUUUAUUACUCUAUUAAACUCAUAAGUUACAAGAAAUGAAAAGUUUUGAAAGUUUACAAAACUUGCCCUCAAGUUUUGGAACAAGUAAAGUUAAGUUAAAACUUUAGUUCCAACCCCUAGAAUUUUAAAAGUUAAAAUUCAACCCUUAUACUUAUAUUAUUAUGAUUUAAUAAUUAUAUAUAUAUGUAUAAGAACAAAGUCGUCUUACCGCUAGUACGCCUCAUUCACGAAGCCGGUCUAUAAGGUGGGUAUAAGGUUGUUGCCUAUAAAAUGGUGACUUAAUGGGUGUCCACUCUCACCCACCGCUUGCUUGAUCGGUGGAGGGUCGUUAGCCGAACGGGUAAGACAAGGACUUAUUAAUUCUCAUUCAAAGUAUGAUGAAUAUUAUAAAGUAACUAAAUGUUUUAUUAAAUUCCCAAUCUUAGUUACUUUAGGAAAAAUGUGAAUAAGGUGCUAUUCCAUGAAAUUACACUUUACACUUUGAUUAAGUCGUUGGUGGAGCGUGUGUGGUUAACCGGCACACUAACUUGGACUUAACAAGGUAGGUAAAGGGUGACUUAGGGUUUAUUAUAGUAUCGAUGGAGCGUGUGUGGUUAACCGGCACAUCGAUUGAGUGAUAAACUUUAAGGGUACCAAGUGAUUUGCAUGGUUACUUCACACCUCGUUUUGUGAUCCUCGGUAUCCCAGUCACAAAACUUGGAGGGCACACUCGAGAUUGAAACAUGCCUUUGAAAAGUUCAUUGAAUCUCAAAGAAUCUAGGAAUUUCUAAGAACCAUUCAAAAACCUAAUACUAAAAUAUUGCGGUUUUCGUGGUGGAAAUUGGUGAAUCGUCAUUCACCUACCUUUCAAAUAUGAUAUAGCUUAGAUUACGGCAUACCUCUUCUAAGUUAUAUUAUAUUGUGAUUGGAUCCUAGCCUUAAUAUUACAUUUGGGUGUUUUAUUAAGGACUCUCUUAUAUCUAAACUAAUCUUGUCCUCUUUCCUUCAGAUGUCUUUCAACAAUGCUUCUGGCUCUAAUCCUAAUGGCUCCUUUACCCUUAUGAACUUGUGUGGGAAAGUCACCUUUGAUGGAUCCAACUUCAAUGAGUGGAUCAGAAACAUCAGGAUGAUUACCCGCUACGAGGACAAAGAAUAUGUCCUUGACAAGGAGCUUAAGGAGAUUGAUGAGUCCACUGCAACUCCUCAGGAGAUCGCUGAAUUUCGGGCACAUGAAAGGGAUGCUACGAAAGUGGCUUGCAUCAUGAUGGCCACGAUGACAGCGGAACUCCAAAAGUCUUAUGAGGAUUUCUACCCUUAUGACAUGCACCAAGAUUUGAUGGAAAGAUACCAUCAAAGUGCAAGACAAGAGAGGUAUGAAAUCAUCUGCUCCAUGAUAACAACCAUGAUGAAGGACGGGGAAUCCGUCACGAGCCACAUGCAGAAAAUGCAAAGGUAUGUGGAUCGUUUGCUGAAGCUUAAUGUGAACUUCCCGGAGGAUCUUGCAAUAGAUAUUAUUUUGCAUUCCUUACCAUCGUGCUAUGAUCAAUUCCGCAUGACAUAUCACAUGAACAAGGAAGAAGUCACCCUCAGCAAACUUCAGGGACUUCUCAAGACCGCAGAAACAGGUCUUAAGGGGAAGUCGGUUGCUAUCACUCCUACUCAAAACUCUACUCCGGUUUUGGCAAUCGGGAAAAGUCGAGGGAGGAAGAGAAAGAGCUCUUCUAAGGGUACCAAGGCUCGGACCCUUGAUGGCUCUUCUUCAAGUGGAACCAAGAAAGGUUUCGUUACUCCUUCUUCUGACCCAAAAGAGGCUGAAUGCUUCUAUUGCCAUGAAAAAGCUCAUUGGAAGCGGAACUGCCCAAAAUACCAGCAAGAUGUGAAGGAUGGGAAAGUUAAACCCAACCAUGCAGGUAUUUACACUAUCAUUUCUAAUAACUCACCCCAUUCUAAUUCUUGGGUCCUUGAUACCGGGUGUGGUAUUCACAUUUGUUGUGACUUGCAGGGACUAAGAAGAAGUGAGGAUGUGGAGCAAGGAAGGAUAAACUUGAUCAUGGGGAAUAGGAAAGCUAUACCUGUUACCAAGAUUGGAGUUUAUACUUUAUCGCUAAGUAGUGGGUUUAGUUUAGAUUUGAAUAAGUGUUGUUAUUCGCCAGGAAUGGCAAGAAAUAUUAUUUCCUUUCAUGCUUUGUACAAACAAGGGUUUACCUUUUCAUUUAAUAAUGAAGUUGGUUCUAUAGAUGUUUUCUAUAAUAAUGUCUUUUAUUUUAAAGCAUUACCUUGUGAUGGUGUGUAUGAAGCUGUAUCUGUUGUAGAUAACUUGGGAAAUAAUGUUUUGUGUAUUGAUUCUACUAAUAAUAACUUGGAUAAAGCAUCUUUAUGGCAUUGUCGUCUUGGACAUAUAAGCAAGAAACGCAUAGGCCAACUCCAAAAGGAUGGAGUCUUGGAGUCGUUUGACCUAAAGUCAGAUGAUAGUUGCGAAUCAUGCUUACUUGGAAAAAUGACAAAGUCACCCUUCACAGGUUCGUGUGAGAGGGGUGAAGGUUUGUUGGACCUUAUACACACGGAUGUGUGUGGACCAUUCAAACAUGCCACAAGGGAUGCUAAUCGUUAUUAUUUGACUUUUACUGAUGAUUAUAGUAGAUAUGGAUAUGUCUACUUGAUCAAGCAUAAGUCAGAGACUUUCGAGAGGUUUAAGGAAUUUAAACAGGAAGUCGAGAAUCAAUUGGGCAGGAACAUUAAGAUGCUUCGAUCCGAUCGUGGUGGUGAGUAUCUUAGUUCAGAGUUCCUCGACUAUCUAAGGGAAUGUGGGAUAGUCUCACAAUUGACACCUCCCAGGACACCACAGUUGAAUGGUGUGGCUGAGAGGCGUAAUCGAACCUUGUUAGAUAUGGUUCGUUCCAUGAUGAGUCGAGCUACGCUACCAAUCUCAUUCUGGGGGUAUGCCUUAGAGACUGCCGCCCAUAUUCUUAAUCUAGUCCCUACAAAGAAAGUUGCCAAAACUCCUCACGAGAUGUGGACUGGUAAAGUACCUAAACUAGACCACAUCAAGAUUUGGGGUUGCGAGGCUUUCGUGAGACGCGAGACUCAUGAUAAGCUCGAACCUCGAAGCGAGAGGUGUAUUUUCAUCGGUUACCCACAGCGAUCCUUUGGUUACCUCUUCUACAGACCUAGUGACAAUGUGGUCUUUGUAGCAAGAAGAGGAGUCUUUCGAGAAAGAGAGUUUAUAAGCCAAGGAGACAGUGGGAGGCAAAUUGAUCUUGAAGAAAUUCAAGAAUCAAGCGGUGAAGGAACUUCAAACUCUAGCCCUCAACUUGAGGAGGAAACUCCUGUUGAGCCAAUUGACAAAUCUGUACCUCUGAGACGUUCCACGAGAGUUAGGAGUGCACCUGAGCAUUACUAUGGAUUCCAUAUUACUGCAGAAGGUGAGACACUUAUUAGUGAUGAGACACUAGUAAGUCAAGAUGACCCUAACAGCUACGAGGAAGCCAUGGCAGGCCCCGAGUCUGCUAAAUGGAAAGAGGCUAUGGAUAGCGAGAUACAAUCCAUGUAUGACAAUCAAGUUUGGAACUUGGUUGAAAAUGUACCAGGUCGUAAGACAGUAGGGUGCAAAUGGGUCUUCAAGAAGAAGACCGACAUGGAUGGUAAAGUACACACUUAUAAGGCUAGACUGGUUGCAAAGGGCUUCUCUCAAAUUCCUGGAGUGGAUUAUGAUGAGACCUUUUCUCCGGUAGCCAAGAUUAAGUCUAUUCGGGUUCUGUUAGCCAUAGCUGCAUUUCAUGACUAUGAAAUAUGGCAGAUGGAUGUCAAAACCGCUUUCCUUAAUGGAAAGUUGGCUGAAGAUGUUUACAUGAGUCAGCCAGAGGGUUUUGUCAGCAACGAGUACCCUAAUAGAGUGUGUAAGCUUGAGAAAUCCAUUUAUGGAUUGAAGCAAGCACCUCGCAGAUGGAAUCUUUGCUUUGAUGAAAAGGUCAAGGAAUUUGGCUUUUCUAGGAGUGAAGAUGAAUCUUGUGUGUAUGUCAAGGCUAGUGGGAGUAUAGUUAGCUUUUUGGUAUUGUAUGUGGAUGACAUACUACUCAUAGGAAACGACAUUCCAACCCUGCAGGAAGUAAAGUCCUGGCUUGGGAAGUGUUUCGCUAUGAAGGACCUUGGUGAAGCUGCCUAUAUUCUAGGGAUAAGAAUCUUGAGAGAUCGGAGUAAAAGACUAAUUGGACUUAGUCAGAGUACCUACUUGGAUAAGGUGCUGAAGAGAUUCAGCAUGCAGGAUUCCAAGAAAGGAGAGUUACCCAUCCAGAGUAACACCAGAUUGAGUAAGACACAAAGCCCUAGCACUGAGGCUGAGAUAGCAGAAAUGAGUCGAACACCUUACGCUUCGGCUGUAGGAUCGAUCAUGUAUGCUAUGACGUGUACUCGACCCGAUGUAGCUUUUGCCUUGAGCAUGGUUAGCAGGUAUCAGGCGAACCCUGGCAAGGCACACUGGACUGCGGUAAAGAAUAUCCUCAAGUACCUACGGAGGACUAAGGACUGGGUCCUUACCCUCGGUGGGAGUGAUGACUUGAGAGUUGUAGGGUAUAGUGAUGCUAGCUUCCAGACUGAUAGGGAUAAUUUCCGCUCUCAGUCGGGCUGGGUCUUUACCCUAAACGGAGGAGCAAUUUCUUGGAAGAGUUCCAAGCAAGAGACAGUGGCAGAUUCUACUUGUGAAUCAGAGUAUAUUGCAGCUAGUGAAGCAGCAAAGGAGGCGAUAUGGCUGAAGAACUUCAUUGGAGACCUUGGAGUUGUACCAGCUAUUAAAGAGCCAAUGGAAAUUUUCUGUGAUAGUGAAAGUGCUGUUGCCUUAGCCAAGGAACCAAGGGAUCAUGGGAGAUCCAGACACAUCGACAGAAAAUACCAUUUCAUUAGACAUCGGAUCGAAGAAGGACUCCUCGUGGCAAAGAGGGUAUCAUCGGAUGAGAACCCAGCAGAUCCCCUCACGAAGGGACUGAGUAGGGUUAAGC
rnacentral:lncRNA from 1 species